rnacentral:rRNA from 1 species
AUGAACGCUGGCGGCGUGCUUAACACAUGCAAGUCGAACGAUGAAGCUGGAGCUUGCUCUGGUGGAUUAGUGGCGAACGGGUGAGUAACACGUGAGUAACCUGCCCCUGACUCUGGGAUAAGCGCUGGAAACGGCGUCUAAUACCGGAUACGAGACGUGACCGCAUGGUCAACGUUUGGAAAGAAUUUCGGUCUGGGAUGGACUCGCGGCCUAUCAGCUUGUUGGUGAGGUAACGGCUCACCAAGGCGACGACGGGUAGCCGGCCUGAGAGGGUGACCGGCCACACUGGGACUGAGACACGGCCCAGACUCCUACGGGAGGCAGCAGUGGGGAAUAUUGCACAAUGGGCGAAAGCCUGAUGCAGCAACGCCGCGUGAGGGACGACGGCCUUCGGGUUGUAAACCUCUUUUAGUAGGGAAGAAGCGAAAGUGACGGUACCUGCAGAAAAAGCACCGGCUAACUACGUGCCAGCAGC